rnacentral:misc_RNA from 1 species
GUUUUAAUGGUGGGUCUCCAUUUGCUGUUGGGUUGGUGGCAUCACUUGCCAUUGUUAAUACCCAUCUCUGCACUGCCACCAGCCUCUUGGUCUGGGUUUCUUUUGACAUGAUUGUAUACAAGAAAAGCUCAGUCAUUGGUGCUGUUCAGGGGAUGAUCACUGGCCUCGUCUGCAUCACUCCUGGCGCAGGAUUAGUGGAGCCAUGGGCAGCAAUGUUGAUGGGAGCAUUGUCUGGUUCAUUGACAUGGUACACCAUGAUGGUAUUGCACAGGAGGUACGCAUUCUUCCAAAGCGUGGAUGACACAUUGGCAGUCUUUCACACGCACGCCGUCGCUGGCCUUCUCGGAGGAAUUCUUUCCGGUCUCCUUGCUAAACCCGCCCUUCUAAGUUUGAUGUAUCCAGACACCACCUACGGGACAGGAUUAAUCUAUAGCCUCACAAAUGGAAGAAAGAAGGACGGCUUCAGACAAAUGCUUUGCCAGAUUGAAGGAGCAGCUUUCAUUACUGUUUGGAAUGCAGCUGUGACAAGCUUAAUUUGUAUCCUGAUAAGCCGCAUUGUUGAUCUGAGAAUGCAAGAAGAUGACCUGGAAAUAGGCGAUGACGCUGUACAUGGUGAAGAAGCCUAUGCACUUUGGGGUGAUGGAGAGAGAAUGCCAAAACCUCGUCAUCUGCAUCCGAGGCUGCCUUCCUUGUGUCGACGUUGAGUUGAGUUUCUUACAAGGCCUGAUUUCGAUCUGUAAUGGGUGUCUAAUAAGUUCCUGUGAUGCUCUAGGGAAUGUGGUAAUUCUCUUUACUGCAGUUCUUGCCCAAUUUUUAUCAUACCCAGUGCAUGAAGUCAAUUUUCAUGUUUGGAGGAGAAAAUUAACUGUAAAAGACAAUUUUCCCAGAAAGAUAAGUCUGAGAUUAUCGUUUGUAGGAUGAGAAUGUUGUAGUCAAAGUGUAAUCUUAAAUUUGCUGGUAAAGACAACCAAGACAGAAUAAUGUCCAUAUACCCGGAAA